UUCAGUGAGUGGGUCCAUGAGCUGUAAGAAUUUUCUAGUGGAACCGUAGUGUUCUUUACAUAUGGAUCAUAUCACCUGCAAAGGAGAACACUCUGACUGUUUUCCUUCAUAUGGACAUGCCUUUACAUAUUUCUGUUUUCAUAUUGUUUGGAGAAGACUUCACAUACUAGUUGGAUUAGAUGAAAAGAUUGAACAUCUGUGACAUAUUCCUUAUUUUAGUGGAAAUGCAUUAAGAUUUUCUCCAGUUAGGAUGCUGUUGGCCGUGCAUAUUGUCUUUAUAAUGUUAAGGUAUAUCUUCUCCAUAUCCCAGAUUCUCCAGGUCUAUUUCAUGUAUCACUGUGAGAAUUGGCCAAAGAAAUUGUCUGCCUCUAGUGCAAUGAUCAUGUGUUUCCUGUUCUUGAUUUCAUGUUGUGUAUUGUUUAUUCAUUUGUAUUUGUUGAAACAUUCUUGCUCUCUGGAGGCAAGCCAACUUGAUCAUGCUACCUGAUAUGCCUGAAUUUUAUUUGCCAGGAUUUUAUUGAGAAAUUUUUCACUUAAGUGUUCCUUCCAAUCUUUGUUUUCUAGGCUUCGAAGAGACACCAUGAGCAAGGGAACUUUUCGAAGAAAGAGUUUAUUGGGGCUUACUGUUUCAAGGAUCAUGAGUCUGUGAUCAGUAUGUGGUGGUACAUGGCAGCAGGCUGUGAAGAGACACCAUGACCAAGGGAACUUAUAGAAGAAAGAGUAUAUUGUUGCUUACAGUUUCAAGGAUUCUGAGUUAUGACUACAAUGCUGAGGUACAUGGCAGCAGGCUGCAAAGAGAUACCAUGAGCAAGGGAACUUUUCGAAGAAAGAGUUUAUUGGGGCUUACAGUUUCAAGGAUCAUGAGUCUGAUAUCAGGGGUACAUGGCAGCAGGCUGUGAAGAGACACCAUGACCAAGGGAACUUAUAGAAGAAAGAGUAUAUUGUUGCUUACAGUUUCAAGGAUUCUGAGCCAUGACUAUUAUGCUGAGGUACAUGGCAGCAGGCUGCGAAGAGAUACCAUGAGCAAGGGAACUUUUCGAAGAAAGAGUUUAUUGGGGCUUACAAUUUCAAGGAUCAUGAGUCUGUGAUCAGUAUGCAGGGGUACAUGGCAGCAGGCUGUGAAGAGACACCAUGACAAAGGGAACUUAUAGAAGAGACAGUUUAUUGGGGCUUACAGUUUCAAGGAUUCUGAGUCUAUGAUUAUCAUGCUGAGGUACAUGGCAGCAGCAGGUAUAAGUAGCCCUGCCACUCGAAGUCACGUGGAAGAGCUGACAAGAGGAGCCAAUACCCUUCAGAGAAACUGUACCAAAGGAUUCAUGUGUUCCCGCGUAUUCUUGCUGGCGAGAGGUCGCGCGGGACAUCUGGUGCCGAAACCCGGAAGAAACGCCACACCAUCGCCAGGCGCCAAGAGGGGGGUCUUCCGUCUGCGGAAGGAAUCCAGAACUGUAGUGUUUAAAAGGAAUUGGGUUUCAACACGUUGAUGGACUAGUCCAGGAAUUGAGACAAUCCAUCGUCCAUAUCAACUCCACUCGAGUGGAUAGUCACCGUGAAAGUGGUGGGAAAGGGAAAAUCCUACCUCUCUGCUGACACCAUCUGGUUUUUUCCCUCUUUGUCUAUUGUCUGUCCUUGGUGCACCAAGCUGUCCCUAUAUGUCAUUUUAUGUCUGUGGUUUUUGUUUCUUGUUGCUUAAAUGUUUUAUGUUUCAUGUUCAAAAGAAAAAAUGGUAAAAACUUUAUCUGCUGGUCGUUCACAUCUUGAUUUGGUUUUGACUCAUUUCAAAAAAGGAACAAAUGAAUAAAAAGCAGUUUCAAUCUGGCCUUUAGAGCCCUGUACCUGCAGCCAAGAGUCUAGGUCAGCUGGAGAAACUGCCCAGGGGCUAAAUGUCUGCACGAGCUGAUCUUAAAGGCGCCAACAGCUCCUCAGCUUCUUUGGUACAAGAGCUGAUAGCUGUUUCUCUUAGAAAAAUCCCUGACUUAUUAUUUGACUCAACAGGUGACAAGGUGCUUCUCUUAAAAUCAUAGCUAAAAAGGUAAAAAUGGUGCUUGGUCUAAAUAUUAAAGAUAUGUGUAGCCACUUCAAUUUUGUUUCUCAUUGGUUUUAAAUGUAUAAAUAUGCUCUACAUGCCUUGGUUAUGGACUAUUGGCUUUUAAGUUAUUGGAUAUGGUUAAAAAGGUAUAAUAUUGGUAACAGAAAGUUGACAUAAAGCUGGUAAUUUGUAUAGAGUCAUUCUAGACAACAUGUGACAUGAGCCCACCUAGGGAAACAGGUCUAAAUUGAGAUAAUAUUUUUAUGGAACUCUUAUUCUAGAAACCAGGCUUCUAAAAGAAUUUAGGACAAUGUCUCUUUGUUGAGGUGCUGGAGACUACACCAUCGUGCGUUCAUAUGUAGGAAUUGGCAGUCAAACUUAGUAACAUAAAGGAUAGACUCGGUAUCCUAGAGAUUUUAGAAGCUAGUUUGUUAGAAGUUGAGUUUUUACUUUCCAUAAUUGUGGUUUGCCCUGAAGCUAUCUGUAUUUUGAUGCUAAUUCCACUGCCCCAAGAACAGCUGCCUAAUCACUACUCAGAACUCAGGUGACCUGUGGUUGUGCUCUGGUGUUACAAGGAGAACUUAAGGAUUUGAUUAAGGAUUGCCAGUGUUACAUUGACUAACUCAAACUUAUUUGUAAUUAAGAAAAAUCAAACAGGUAGAGAUUGUUACAAGAUUUACAAAGGAUUGAUGAGGUUUUGAAACUUGUGAGAGCAUUACAGCCAGUUUGUUUAUAAUUUUAGAGAGCCCACAAAGUGAUAUCAUUAGGAAUAGCUAACAGCCUUAUAUUAUGUAAUUUUGUUGCUUCUUCAGUGUAAGGAGUUAGAACUUUGAAUCUUUCAGUGUAUACGGAAAUUUUUACUACAAACCUUUGCUCUCAAAAUGAGCUUUUAUAUUUGGGGAGUAGCUGUUACACUAUUCCAGAAAAGAAGAUUUAAAACUAAUUUUAAGCUUCUAAGGAUAUGUUAAUUGGCUAAGUACCUCACCUUGCCAGAGGACUUAGGUCUUUGUUAUCCACAUUGGAAAUAAAGCUUCAGUUGUGUUAAUACAAAAUUGUAGGCUAGAGUCAUGGAAGUAUUUUAAAAAGAAACUGGUAAAACAUAUCUUAUUCCAAACAACAGUUAAUUGGUUAUUACAAAAUACUGAUAUUUGGCCUAUCACUUAUACAAAUUUUUCAGGCAAAAUUGAUAAUUUUACUCUUUACAUGCUUUUGUAUUUAUUGUAAAUUUGUACAUACAACCCAUAGGAAAUGCGCUUACUAUAUUUAUAGGUGGUUCAUCUAAUGAAAAGGCUACAUAUAUGAUUGGAUCACUUGCUUAUUCUCUUGAGUUUCUGUUGCUUCAACACAGAUUAUUAAAUUCCAUGGUUUAGCCACUGUUUUUAAAUCAAGCUUUCAAUUCACAUACUGAUAGCCAAUGUGUGGCUUGUGGUUUACAAUUGAUUUCAAUUACUUAAUGCUUUACUAGAGAUAGGUUUUCUAUAUAAAAUCAAUGAGUGAUUUCAGUGUGAAUGUCUGACAACUCACUGUCCUUUCAGUGCUCUGGCUCAGACAACUAAAUUAAACCUUAGACUCAUACCUAACUUUGAAAAUGGUAAUAGAGUUGAUAUGAAAAGAAGAAGACUCCAUUUGCUUACUUUAAAUUCUCAGCCUCGCCCUGCCAGCUCAGGGAUUUCUAGUAAGACUGAAAUUGGACAAUAUUUACAGGAUUUGACAUUUCUAAUUAAUGCUUAGGUUUAGAUAAAUAAAGCUGGUGAGGGGCUGGAGAGAUGGCUUAGUGGUUAAGAACACUAAGUACUGUUCCUUAAUAGACCAUUUAAGAACUCAAACUGGAUUGCCUAGAUUCCUUAAUAAGGGAGGACAAUGAUCCAGACAGAUUAUAGGCCUUACAUAGGAACAAUUAGUCAAAAAAUCUCAUUCUUUAUAUAUCCAAAACAAUAAUGCUAGAAACAAUAAUUUGGUAUACAAGUCAAUUUAUAAAUACAAGUGCUCAGUGUCCUCAAUUUAAUCCUCGAGGACUUAUCUUAAUAAAUAAUAUCUUUACUAUAUCUUAAUAAAUAAAAAGGGGGAGUUAUCCCUUAUGCUAAAUAAUGCUCCUUUUAUUUCAAUUUUAAAAUUUGGAUGCCAAAGUUUAUGGCACCCUACAACUAGGCAUACUUCUGCCUAGGUGAAAUAGAGAGAUCCACGUAUUGACAUGAUCCUGUUCAGAUAUUUUAUAUGGGGAAGAGGGAAUGUUUGUGUUUUUUCUACACGAUGCUACAAGAGUGUGCCAGCUGCCUGAGUGUCAGGAGAGACUUGCUGAUCCUGGGAGCAUGAAGAUUCAGCUCUCCUGGUUCGGGUCCCUGAAGUCAUUCCUCUGCCCUGAGAGGAAGAUGGAAGAUUCCCCCUCAUCUUUUGUCAUCACAGAGAUUUUGCCGUUGCUGAAGUCAGUGUUACUGCUGCGUGUGUCCCGUCCCACUGUGGCCUGUUCUCUGACCCUCUGUGCACUGCUGCUUGCUUGCUGGAGAAGACUGGACUCCAGCCGUUGCUGCCCCCCUCAUUUCCCUGGUGACUCUUGCUGCCUUAACUGGUGUUGUCAUUUUGCAGACUGUAGCUUCACAGGAAUGCCACCUGCAUGAAGCUGCUGUAGACUGGGGAACUCUGUCCUGGUUGUACAGAUCUCAGACAUGGUUCCAUUGCCUGCUGGUUGUUCCAGAGAUCCUGAACUGUCCUGGAAAAGACCUUGACCCUUUUGCUGCUAUUGUACCAGCCAUUACUGCUACAGACAUUGUGUCUGCAGUGUCUGGAGUUAUCCUCCCCCAAUCUAUUGUUAGACAAGCACAGUGGGUGAACUUUCUGGAGUAGUUGCUAACAAUUGGGAAUUCUAAAUUUUAUUAUAGGAGCGGCUUGACUACAGCCCUUGGUGGUAACAGCUGAGGUAAAACAAAUGAGGUGCCCACUACUUAUUGGGAGUGGCUCUGUUUGGUGCAGCCCUGUGCUGUGGAUUAGUGUUCAUGCUAUGGUUGGUUUGCAAACUCAGAUCUCAACAGAAAUGUGACAAGGCCCUUAUCACUCAAGCACUUGUGGCCAUUGAACAAGGGGCCUCCCCUGGAAUUUGGUUAUCUAUGCUUAGGAAUUAGUCAGUAUCUGAGUUCUCUUCUCUUGCACCCCAUGGAUCUGUGGAUCCAUUACACUGGGAUGAGAGAGACUCAAUGAUGCUUUGAUCAGCCCUUCCACAUCACUGAGGUUUCCUCAUUGCACGUGAUAGGGUGAUCAUGAUUUCCCCACUAACUCAUCUUCUGGCUGGCCUCCUUUUAGAGUUCGCCCUAGGUCAUUAACAGUUACUUUCACACAGCACUGUGGUAUCCAGAGAUGGGCAACUUUCCUCAGGCACAGUACACGGGGCCCGGUGGCGAUAGGGUUACCCUUCGUUAAGGCUGUGACAUAGAGGAACGACCUAAGACAGGAGCCACAACAGAUGGACGUAACUACAGGGACCUAGACCAGCCUAGACAAUAAUUUAUUGUUAUUAAUUAAUAAAAUAAUAAGGGGGAAAUGUAGAGGGCCGCAAUAACAUUCGCCACCACAAGAUGGCGCUGGCCUCCACCACGCCAGCCGACUUCCUUUAAGGAAGUUAACUGUGUGCGCAUGUGCAAGAGUGCCUUUGUGCCAGGUCUUUGCCCACUCCGGGGCGUGCCUAAUGAGAUCAUGGGUAAGCGACCAAUCAGGUGUGGAUGCGCCACGCUAGGGUGUAUAUAAGCCGCGCCAUGCUGGCGCCCCGCCGCCGCCCUCUAUUAAUAAAUAUAAGCAUUUUGGCUACAGAAGGAUUCAGACACAUACACAUAAACAUUUUGUUAAAUACUGAAGAGCAAUUGAGAAUCAGGGCGAGACUCAGUAGCAGAGUAACUGUGCAGGUACGUGGGGCCUUGGGCACCAUGCUGGCAAAUGUGUGGGCUGCAGAAGUGACUCGGUGUUGUUGUAGGGGUCCCAGCUGCCAGUGCUCUCAUAAGCCAGCUCACAAUUAACUAUCGUUUCAGUGCCAAGCAUUCUGAUCUUAUCUUUUAGCCUUCAUGGUCACCACACUUGGGUUCACAACUCCAUACGUAUCUACACACUUAUGCACAUAGUUUAAAAAAAGUGUUUGUGCCAAAAGUGUCAAACCCUAGAAAGAACAGUCAAAUGUCCCCAUGUUUGAAUACAAAAUGGUCCCUUGGAAAGAGGCAGUUUGGCCACCUGCUGAGAAGUAUCAGGUGAUGAAGGGUCUCUAUGUGCACCAGGGAGGUCAAGUUUGGUCUAUGCUCUACAGACCCAAUCAAUUUCAUAGAAAGCACAAAAGUUCAUACAGACAAGAUCCCAGCUGGCGGAACAGCUCAGGAGAAAGGUGCUUGCAGCCAUACCUGAUGUUCUUACAUUUGCUCUGUAAGUCCCCACAUGAUAGGAGGAAAAUUGGUUGCCUGGAGCUGUCCUCUGACCUCCACAGGCUGUGGCAUGUCCUGAGGUAUAAAUAAAAACCACUUAAAAAUAGAA